rnacentral:lncRNA from 1 species
AAAAAACACUUUAUCCCCUGGUGGUAGAUGAAGAGCAGGUAAAAGAUGCAUUCCCAGCUUUUGGUUUCUGGGAACGGAGUGAGGCUCCUUCACAAAGUCAGCCACAGCCCAGAAGAGCCACGGAGAGGAGAGGCCUGACAACUUGGAGCUGUGGGACAACUUGAAGUGAUGAGGCAGUAACCCUGUACCUACAGCACCACUGAGGCGAUUCUUCUGCUGAGGUUUGCUCUGCAUCACCUCACGUGCAGCUUCCCCAGCCUGAAGUGCCUUCCCAGACAGCUCAGGCACCUGCAACAAUUCCCGUGCUGCAGUUUCUGUGUGUGUGUUCUGUUGCUGUACAUACCAUUGCAGCUCAUGGAUAGCAUUCAGCUGCACAUACCUUAAGAAGAUCCCUAAAAGCAGAGCUGAAGGCUCACCCACUCCUGGAUCCAGCCAUGAAGAGCUAUUUGGAGAGCGACAUUGCUGCGGGUUUUGAAAGGAUGAUCUGCAAGUGCAGCCGAAGCCAUCUCAUUAGAGCACCUGCCAGUCUUUAUCAGUUGUCAAAUAAAGCAGAUGGAUUUGGUCAGCAAACCUGCAGAUAAAACAUUAAAGGUUUUGUUGUGCUCUUUUUCUUUACUUUGGGCCCCACUUCAAAGCUAGUUUUUGCUUUAAAGUUCUGACUCAGUCCGAUAAAUAAAAGAAGUCUAGGUUUUCA